AAAUUGAAGAGUUUGAUCAUGGCUCAGAUUGAACGCUGGCGGCAGGCCUAACACAUGCAAGUCGAACGGUAACAGGAAGCAGCUUGCUGCUUCGCUGACGAGUGGCGGACGGGUGAGUAAUGUCUGGGAAACUGCCUGAUGGAGGGGGAUAACUACUGGAAACGGUGGCUAAUACCGCAUAACGUCGCAAGACCAAAGAGGGGGACCUUCGGGCCUCUUGCCAUCAGAUGUGCCCAGAUGGGAUUAGCUUGUUGGUGAGGUAAUGGCUCACCAAGGCGACGAUCCCUAGCUGGUCUGAGAGGAUGACCAGCCACACUGGAACUGAGACACGGUCCAGACUCCUACGGGAGGCAGCAGUGGGGAAUAUUGCACAAUGGGCGCAAGCCUGAUGCAGCCAUGCCGCGUGUAUGAAGAAGGCCUUCGGGUUGUAAAGUACUUUCAGCGGGGAGGAAGGUGUUGCGGUUAAUAACCGCAGCAAUUGACGUUACCCGCAGAAGAAGCACCGGCUAACUCCGUGCCAGCAGCCGCGGUAAUACGGAGGGUGCAAGCGUUAAUCGGAAUUACUGGGCGUAAAGCGCACGCAGGCGGUCUGUCAAGUCGGAUGUGAAAUCCCCGGGCUCAACCUGGGAACUGCAUUCGAAACUGGCAGGCUUGAGUCUUGUAGAGGGGGGUAGAAUUCCAGGUGUAGCGGUGAAAUGCGUAGAGAUCUGGAGGAAUACCGGUGGCGAAGGCGGCCCCCUGGACAAAGACUGACGCUCAGGUGCGAAAGCGUGGGGAGCAAACAGGAUUAGAUACCCUGGUAGUCCACGCCGUAAACGAUGUCUACUUGGAGGUUGUGCCCUUGAGGCGUGGCUUCCGGAGCUAACGCGUUAAGUAGACCGCCUGGGGAGUACGGCCGCAAGGUUAAAACUCAAAUGAAUUGACGGGGGCCCGCACAAGCGGUGGAGCAUGUGGUUUAAUUCGAUGCAACGCGAAGAACCUUACCUGGUCUUGACAUCCACAGAACUUUCCAGAGAUGGAUUGGUGCCUUCGGGAACUGUGAGACAGGUGCUGCAUGGCUGUCGUCAGCUCGUGUUGUGAAAUGUUGGGUUAAGUCCCGCAACGAGCGCAACCCUUAUCCUUUGUUGCCAGCGGUCCGGCCGGGAACUCAAAGGAGACUGCCAGUGAUAAACUGGAGGAAGGUGGGGAUGACGUCAAGUCAUCAUGGCCCUUACGACCAGGGCUACACACGUGCUACAAUGGCGCAUACAAAGAGAAGCGACCUCGCGAGAGCAAGCGGACCUCAUAAAGUGCGUCGUAGUCCGGAUUGGAGUCUGCAACUCGACUCCAUGAAGUCGGAAUCGCUAGUAAUCGUGGAUCAGAAUGCCACGGUGAAUACGUUCCCGGGCCUUGUACACACCGCCCGUCACACCAUGGGAGUGGGUUGCAAAAGAAGUAGGUAGCUUAACCUUCGGGAGGGCGCUUACCACUUUGUGAUUCAUGACUGGGGUGAAGUCGUAACAAGGUAACCGUAGGGGAACCUGCGGUUGGAUCACCUCCUUA
rnacentral:rRNA from 2 species